rnacentral:rRNA from 1 species
CCUCUUAGNAGAGGAUAACAGUCGGAAACGAUUGCUAAUACUCUAUACUUCUGCUUUACNUAANUAAAGUANAGAAAGUUUUUCGCUAAGANAUGAGGCUAUACUGUAUCAGCCAGUUGGUAAGGUAACGGCUUACCAAGGCUAUGACGCAUAACUGGUCUGAGAGGAUGAUCAGUCACAUUGGAACUGAGACACGGUCCAAACUCCUACGGGAGGCAGCAGUAGGGAAUAUUGCGCAAUGGGGGAAACCCUGACGCAGCAACGCCGCGUGGAGGAUGACACUUUUCGGAGCGUAAACUCCUUUUAUCGGGAAAGAAUAAUGACGGUACCCGAUGAAUAAGCACCGGCUAACUCCGUGCCAGCAGCCGCGGUAAUACGGAGGGUGCAAGCGUUACUCGGAAUCACUGGGNGUANAGGGUGCGUAGGUGGAUUAUCAAGUCUCUUGUGAAAUCUAAUANCUUAACUAUUAAAUUGCUUGGGAAACUGAUNGUCUAGAGNAGGGGAGAGGCAGAUGGAACUCUUGGUGUAGGAGUAAAAUCCGNAGAUAUCAAGAAGAAUACCUAUUGCGAAAGCGAUCUGCUAGAACCUAACUGACACUGAUGCACGAAAGCGUGGGGAGCAGACAGGAUUANAUACCCUGGUAGUCCACGCCCUAAACGAUGUAUACCGGUUGU